AGCAGUAGCCACGGAAAACGGAGGGUGCAAGCGUUACUCGGAAUUACUGGGCGUAAAGCGUGCGUAGGUGGUGGUUUAAGUCCGUUGUGAAAGCCCUGGGCUCAACCUGGGAAUUGCAGUGGAUACUGGGUCACUAGAGUGUGGUAGAGGAUAGUGGAAUUUCCGGUGUAGCAGUGAAAUGCGUAGAGAUCGGAAGGAACAUCUGUGGCGAAGGCGACUAUCUGGGCCAACACUGACACUGAGGCACGAAAGCGUGGGGAGCAAACAGGAUUAGAUACCCGUGUAGUCCCUGUCUCUUAUACA
rnacentral:rRNA from 1 species